CACGUAGGGUGCGAGCGUUUGUCCGGAAUUAUUGGGCGUAAAGAGCUCGUAGGCGGUGUGUCGCGUCGGCCGUGAAAACCUGCAGCUUAACUGUGGGCUUGCGGUCGAUACGGGCAUCACUGGAGUUCGGCAGGGGAGACUGGAAUUCCUGGUGUAGCGGUGAAAUGCGCAGAUAUCAGGAGGAACACCGGGUGGGCGAAGG
rnacentral:rRNA from 1 species